CAGUUUCUUGGCAGGACAGAUCUUGCUGAAGUAGAACUUCUGCCCUGGGUGUGCCACAUUGCCCUAGAGCUGAAAGGCACACGUGCAGGCUUCUUAACAAAGGGCGAGUUGUGCCCCAGAGCAUCUUGCUUCCAGCUGUUUGGGAAGCUAAGAAACAACUCGCUCUGCACAGUGCUCUUACAUCCUACCGGGAACUUCUCUUACAAAGGCCUGUGAAACGCAGUUUGUUUGCAGGCCUGAUCUGGCUGAAGUAGAACUUCUGCUCUGGGUGUGCCACAUUGCCCUAUAGCUGAAAGCUGCAACGUGCAGCCUCCUUUCCAAAGGGCGAGUUGGGCCCCAGAGCAUCUUGCUUCCAGCUCUUUGGGAAGCUACGAAACAAGUCGCUCUGCACACUGCUCUUACAGCCUACCGGGAACAUCUCUUACAAAGGACUGUGAAACGCAGUUUCUUUGCAGGCCUGAUGUGGCUGAAGUAGCACUUUUGCUCUGGGUGUGCCACAUUGACCUAGAGCUGAAAGGCACAACGUGCAGGCUUCUUAACAAAGGGCGAGAUGGGCCCCAGAGCAUCUUGCUUCCAGCUCUUUGGGAAGAUAAGAAACAACUCGCUCUCGCAGUGCUCUUACAGCCUCCAGGGAACAUCUCUUACAAAGCCGUGUGAAACGCAGUUUCUUUGCAGGCCUGAUCUGGCUGAAGUUGAACUUCUGCCCUGGGUGUGCAAAUUUGCCCUAGAGCUGAAAGGCACAACGUGCAGGCUUCUUAACAAAGGGCGAGUUGGGCGCCAGAUCAUCUUGCUUCCAGCUCUUUGGGAAGCUAGGAAACACCUCGCCCUGCACAGUGCUCUUACAGCCUACUGGUAACAUCUCUUACAAUGGCCUGUUAAACGCAGUUUCUUUGCAGGGCUGAUCUGGCUGAAGUUGAACUUCUGCUCUGGGUGUGCCACAUUGCCCAGAACUGAAAGGCACAACGUGCAGGCUUCUUAACAAAGGGCCAAUUGGGCCCCAGAGCAUCUUGCUUCCAGCUCUUUGGGAAGCUAAGAAACAACUCGCUCUGCACAGUGCUCUUACAUCCUACCUUGAACUUCUCUUACAAAGGCCUGUGAAACGCAGUUUGUUUGCAGGUCUGAUCUGGCUGAAGUAGAACUUCUGCUCUGGGUGUGCCACAUUGCCCUAUAGCUGAAAGCUGCAACGUGCAGUCUCCUUUCCAAAGGGCGAGUUGGGCCCCAGAGCAUCUUGCAUCCAGCUCUUUGGGAAGCUAAGAAACAACUCGCUCUGCACAGCGCUCUUACAGCCUACCGGGAACAUCUCUUACAAAGGACUGUGAAACGCAGUUUCUUUGCAGGCCUGAUGUGGCUGAAGUAGCACUUUUGCUCUGGGUGUGCCACAUUGCCCUAGAGCUGAAAGGCACAACGUGCAGGCUCCUUAACAAAGGGCGAGUUGGGCCCCAGAGCAUCUUGCUUCCAGCUCAUUGGGAAGCUAAGAAACAACUCACUCUGCACCGUGCUCUUACAGCCUACCGGGAACAUCUCUUACAAAGGACUGUGAAAC
rnacentral:lncRNA from 1 species